AGUCCAGAUAUUGUCCUGCAAGUGACUCUUCAGGAACACAGUCAAAGCAGAGCCUCAAGUCAGUGUGGAGGAAGCUGGUCAUGCUCUUGCCAUGUUUUGCGGUGAAUUAGAUGGGAGAGGGGAAGUGAGGAGCCAGACUUUGGUCAGUCUGGACCGAUGCUCUGAUGUUGACAAGAGGAGACCAGGGUCCUGUAUUUAUAGGAGCUUCCCUCUCAACUUGCUAAGCCCUUUCAAAUGUAUAAAAAAGGAAAAUUGAUUUCCAUUUGCUGUCUAACGGAAUCACACCAGGAAACAAUUCUGAACAUCUGUAGAAUAAACUAAUCAAUAAAGUAUCUUCACUGAAAGCCA